rnacentral:tRNA from 1 species
GGGAAUAUGGCUCAGUGGUAGAGUGCUUGCCUUGCAUGCAUGAGGCCCUAGGUUCAAUUCCUCAGCACCA